rnacentral:rRNA from 1 species
AGGGUUCGAUUCUGGCUCAGGAUGAACGCUAGCGACAGGCUUAACACAUGCAAGUCGAGGGGCAGCAUAAAAGUAGCAAUACUUGGUGGCGACCGGCGCACGGGUGAGUAACGCGUAUGCAACCUACCUAUCAGAGGGGAAUAACCCGGCGAAAGUCGGACUAAUACCGCAUAAAACAGGGGCACCGCAUGGUGAUAUUUGUUAAAGAAAUUCGCUGAUAGAUGGGCAUGCGUUCCAUUAGGUAGUUGGUGAGGUAACGGCUCACCAAGCCGACGAUGGAUAGGGGAACUGAGAGGUUGGUCCCCCACACUGGUACUGAGACACGGACCAGACUCCUACGGGAGGCAGCAGUGAGGAAUAUUGGUCAAUGGGCGAGAGCCUGAACCAGCCAAGUCGCGUGAAGGGAAGAAGGAUCUAUGGUUCGUAAACUUCUUUUGCAGGGGAAUAAAGUGCAGGACGUGUCCUGUUUUGUAUGUACCCUGAGAAUAAGGAUCGGCUAACUCCGUGCCAGCAGCGGC